rnacentral:rRNA from 1 species
AUAAAGUAGCAUACUUGUGGUGGCGACCGGCGCACGGGUGAGUAACGCGUAUGCAACCUACCUAUCAGAGGGGAAUAACCCGGCGAAAGUCGGACUAAUACCGCAUAAAACAGGGACACCGCAUGGUGAUAUUUGUUAAAGAAAUUCGCUGAUAGAUGGGCAUGCGUUCCAUUAGGUAGUUGGUGAGGUAACGGCUCACCAAGCCGACGAUGGAUAGGGGAACUGAGAGGUUGGUCCCCCACACUGGUACUGAGACACGGACCAGACUCCUACGGGGGGCAGCAGUGAGGAAUAUUGGUCAAUGGGCGAGAGCCUGAACCAGCCAAGUCGCGUGAAGGAAGAAGGAUCUAUGGUUCGUAAACUUCUUUUGCAGGGGAAUAAAGUGCAGGACGUGUCCUGUUUUGUAUGUACCCUGAGAAUAAGGAUCGGCUAACUCCGUGCCAGCAGCCGCGGUAAUACGGAGGAUCCGAGCGUUAUCCGGAUUUAUUGGGUUUAAAGGGUGCGUAGGUGGUUUGAUAAGUCAGCGGUGAAAGUUUGCAGCUUAACUGUAAAAAUGCCGUUGAAACUGUCGGACUUGAGUGUAAAUGAGGUAGGCGGAAUGCGUGGUGUAGCGGUGAAAUGCUUAGAUAUCACGAAGAACUCCGAUUG